UUAUCGCCGACUGGAGAGCCGUCACCCAGCGUGACGCACCGAAGGAGCAAAUCCGCCGCAUCGCGUGACGGGUGAAUCUCUCAGGUACCAAGGACAGCGGGAGCGGC
rnacentral:ncRNA from 2 species